UAUUGGAGAAACAGGCCCUCUUAUAUCAGAUAGGCAUCAACAGCGGGAGGGGUACCGAGAGUCAUCGUCUUCGGCUUUCGGAAUUACCAUUAUUACGGCAAAAGACGAACAGCACAGUGCAAGACAUGCGGCAUAAACAUCUCGGACAGCCAGGCGACAACUUCAAACUUUGUUCGUCAUUUGAAGAGCCAUUCUGCCCAGGCAUAAGCACAUAAAGCUGGCAGCAGUGACCCAGCGCCCGACACCGGUUCACAGUGAGGACAGAAACAGAGGGCUCGGUGGGGAGCACCUGCUGCAGCAAGCGAACUCACCAACUGCGGUCACUUUGACUUGACCAGCUGACUUCACCACAAGCCGAUUAGCUGUUGAAACAGGAGAUUUAAAAGUAGCUGUUAGCGGCCAACUCAAAGAGGAAGAGCAACGAGCAAAAAUGUCUGCAAAUUGUGAAAACAAUGAGGACCAGCAGCUCCUUACCAUCCAAGCAGAGGACAACAUCAGCUACCAUAUAACAGAGAUGGAGCAGAGAGUCAUAUUGGUGAGAGGCUAGGCACCCGUGGUGAGGUCCCUUCACGUUUGUGUGUGAGUAGUUGCACUGGGACACCAUAGACUGCACCAUUUUUUGUUUAAGGAUUGCUGUGUUUGUUUGCUGUGCCCACUUGUGGUGGUUAGAGGUAGCACCCCAAGGCACUCCUCUGUGUAGUCUGCCUCUCCCAAGUGGCCUCAGCUCCAAUUCUUUUCCUUAGUUUUGUUUAUGUUGGGCUGAGUUUUUAAUUAUUGUAUCAGUCAUUUUUAGAAUUUCUAUCAAGGCCUUUUUUUAGUAUAAAUUGUAAUAAACUAUUUUUAUAUACCUAAAUUUUUGGUUGUUGUUUAUUAAUUUUAUUCUUCUUCCUUUUCAGCAGCCCCAGCCCCUGCCAUUUGCUUUGAUUAUUUUGUUUAUCAAUAAAAACAUUUCCGCCUUAACUGAUUACACGUCUCAGCCUCUUUCAGUAACGAACCUGUGUGCCUUAGCAAUUAUUCUACACACUAUUCAAGGUACUUCAAGUAUUUCCUGGGGUGAAACUCCCCAGGUGGCAUUGUUGGCUCAUCCUCUAUCCUCCCGUGUGUUAAAAUUCCAAUUUAUACCUACCUCCCCCCUCGCCACAGCCAUCUCAGUUAGAGGCAGUUAUCAAGGCCCCUCAACCGCAAACGGUGGGCCAGAUGUUAUCUUUUUUGGGCAUGACAGGCUACAACAGUCUGUGGAUUUGUGACUAUGCCAUCAAAACUGCCCCACUCAGGGCUCUGAUAAGGGCAGCAGGUCAAACCAAUAACACAGCACAGUUGGCGUGGACAGAGGAAGCAGAAGGAGCGUUCCAAGCUCUAAAAAUAGACAUGCAAUCUGCUCCAGCAUUGGGGACUCCUAACUAUGCUAAACCUUUUCAUUUACAGUACAGGCCAAAAGUUUGGAC